rnacentral:rRNA from 1 species
UAUCUCUGUAGAGUCUGCAUAUCAAUAAGCGGAGGAAAAGAAACUAACAAGGAUUCCCUUAGUAACGGCGAGUGAAGCGGGAAGAGCUCAAAUUUGAAAUCUUCAAGGUUUUACCUUGACGAAUUGUAGUUUAAAGAAGUGUUUUCUGUUGGAGUUUUGGUAAAAGUUCUUUGGAAUAGGACAUCAUAGAGGGUGAGAAUCCCGUAUUUGACCAUUAUUUCCAGCUGUGUGAUACACUUUCAAAGAGUCGGAUUGUUUGGGAAUGCAGUCCAAAAUGGGUGGUAAAUUUCAUCUAAAGCUAAAUAUUGGCGAGAGACCGAUAGCGAACAAGUACCGUGAGGGAAAGAUGAAAAGAACUUUGAAAAGAGAGUUAAACAGUACGUGAAAUUGUCAAAAGGGAAGCGUUUGACACCAGUGUUGUUUUCUCGAAAAUCAAUUAAAAAUGAUGGGAUUUUGUGUUGUAUUGACUUUAUCAGCUUUCUGCACUUUUUUCUUAUCUUUUUUAAUGCACUUUUCGUUUAACAAGUCAACAUCAAUUUCUUUUGUUGUAAAAGAGGUCAUUGGAAGGUGGCUUUCUUUUCGGAGAAAGUGUUUAUAGCCUUUGACUUCUGCAAUCGGAGAGAUUGAGGUCUGCAGCGUAGAUCCUUCGGGGUUAGAUACAUUUGUGCUAAGCUAUAGCCUUUCAUAGACAACUUGUUGACUAUGAUCAGUCAUGUAGCUUACUCGCUUAUGCUAUUUUACCUACGCUUAGGAUGUUGAGUAGCGACAUACGCAC